rnacentral:rRNA from 1 species
GACGAACGCUGGCGGCGUGCUUAACACAUGCAAGUCGAACGGAAAGGCCCUGCUUUUGUGGGGUGCUCGAGUGGCGAACGGGUGAGUAACACGUGAGUAACCUGCCCUUGACUUUGGGAUAACUUCAGGAAACUGGGGCUAAUACCGGAUAGGAGCUCCUGCUGCAUGGUGGGGGUUGGAAAGUUUCGGCGGUUGGGGAUGGACUCGCGGCUUAUCAGCUUGUUGGUGGGGUAGUGGCUUACCAAGGCUUUGACGGGUAGCCGGCCUGAGAGGGUGACCGGCCACAUUGGGACUGAGAUACGGCCCAGACUCCUACGGGAGGCAGCAGUGGGGAAUAUUGCACAAUGGGCGGAAGCCUGAUGCAGCAACGCCGCGUGCGGGAUGACGGCCUUCGGGUUGUAAACCGCUUUCGCCUGUGACGAAGCGUGAGUGACGGUAAUGGGUAAGGAAACACCGGCUAACUACGU